UCGUGCAGCCGGGGUGUUAGCGGUACCUUGUACCCACAAUCCGCUAUAGUGGGGGUGAUGUUACACGGAGGGCUUAUGCUUGUGAAGCUGCCCUCGGAAAGUGGCGUUGAGGCUUGGGUCUUACGCGACGGAACUCUGUGAACCGUGUCAGGUCGGGAACGAAGCAGCACUAAGCAGAGACCUCCGGGUGCCGUAAGGGUGCCUGGGCUGAGUUAACUACCGAGGUAACGUUCGGGAGGUAAGUUCGAAGUGUAACGCACGA
rfam:Lachnospiraceae bacterium 9_1_43BFAA genomic scaffold supercont1.3, whole genome shotgun sequence.